UACGGAGGGUGCAAGCGUUAUCCGGAUUCACUGGGUUUAAAGGGUGCGUAGGUGGGUUGGUAAGUCAGUGGUGAAAUCUCCAGGCUUAACUUGGAAACUGCCAUUGAUACUAUCAAUCUUGAAUACCGUGGAGGUCAGCGGAAUAUGUCAUGUAGCGGUGAAAUGCUUAGAGAUCCGGAAGAACACCGGUGGCGAAGGCGGUCUGCUGGGGUAAUGCUGACACUGAUGCGCGACAGCGUGGGGAGCAAACAGG
rnacentral:rRNA from 1 species